CGUGAUUGAUGCACAGUAAUGAUAUUCUCUCAAUCAUAUCAAUAACCUGUUUAUUUACUGUGUGCGCUUACUAAGGACUUGCCAGCGAGCAGUGCACCGAGGGACCAAGACAGUGAAAUCAAUUAGGGACCAAUCUCUUUUCAAUUUUCACAGGGCCUACGUCUCAGACAGGUUGAUAUGAUGGAGGACAAUAUUGCUGCAAGUACUGCAACCCUCUUCAAGAUGGCCAAAAAACUAAGGUCUGCAGAAGGGCUGUUGAGAGAAUGAGACGACGAAAAGGACAGCUCAUUGGUGGACAGCGGGAAUUUGUUGUAAUUGAUGAGAGUCAUUUCCGCCAUAAGAGAAAGUAUGGGAGAGGAAGAAUGGGGGUCAAUGGGUCUUCGGCAUGCUAGGUGUGCAGCAGCAGAGGUGCAAGAGAGCAAAGCCAGUGCUGCGCCUUGUAGAAAGAAGAGGACGACAAGACCUUCUCCCACUGAAUGCACAUCAUGUCAGGAUAGGAUCAAACAUCAUUAGUGAUGAAUGGCGUGCUUUUCGUUCCCUCCUUGCACUUGGCUACAAUCAUAUGACUGUGAAUCACGCAAGGUGGUAUGUAGAUCCCCAAACAGGUGCCCUCACACAGCACAUAGAAAGAGCCUGGCGUGGCAUUAAGGAGCUUUUUGGAAGUUUGGAGGCAAAGAGGUCAUCAAACCGAAUGCUUACUGUCUGACCAUCUUUGUCUUAUUGAGUGGACUGAAUGGCUAAGCAGGACACACAAAGAUGGUCCUCUUGGUAGGAUACUACAUGAUGUAGCUAACAGGUACAGGGUAUAGGCUACAAUGGAGGCUAAAUAGUGGGAGUGGAUCACAAUUUAAUUUCCAUUGCUGCCCCUGAAAGGUUUGCUGAGUUUAGAGAUCAGAAUACAGGAAAGCACAUGGUGAUUUUACUGGGAAAUAUCUAGAUGCCAUCCGCGACUGUCUAGAUAUUGUUGACACAGUUCGGGCACUGAAGAAAUCAGAAAAACUGUUGCCUGUUGGAAAGGAGAAUUGUGAAUUGAUGUUGUGCUGAUGGACCAUGUUUUAAAACAAAAUAAUAAUCUACCUCAGUUUUAUUGUGCACUUAUUGAUGGAGAUAUUGAUCAGGUCUAUGAUCUGCAUAUUGAUGGAGGUAUUGAUCAGGUCUAUGAUCUAAAUAUUGACAGAGGUAUUGAUCAGGUCUAUGAUCUGUGUAUUGAUGGUGGUAUUGAUCAGGUCUAUGAUCUACUUAUUGACAGAGGUAUUGAUUAUGUCUAUGAUCUGCAUAUUGACAGAGAUAUUGAUCAGGUCUAUGAUCUGCAUAUUGACGGAGGUAUUGAUCAGGUCUAUGAUCUGCUUAUCGACGGAGGUAUUGCUCAGCUGCUCUCACCUCAGGGGGGACAUUUGUUCCUGGCAGACGGACCCAUUGUUGCUGUCGGCCAGUGUUAAUUUCAUCGAUGAAAAUUUUUCGUUAACAACCUUUUUUUCCAUGACUAAGACGAGUCGAAAACUAUCUUAAAAAAUAAAAAAUAUGACUAAAUCUGUUCUAAUUUUGGUUAACGAGACGAGACGAAAAUAUUGGUGGAAAAAAAUGUUGGAAAUAUACGGUUUCAUUUAGUUAAAUAUUCUUUUUAAAAUGACAAUAUGUUCUUUGUUAAGAAGUGAGUAGAUGAGUGAUAUAAAGAAAACAAUAAUAAACAAACAAUUCAAAUCAAUAAACCAGCAUGCAUAAUAAGGAAGACGCAAACAAAUUCAAACAAAAUAACAAAAAGCAAAAGACCCACAUGCAAUAUGUACAACAGUUAAUACAAUAUAGAGAGCCAGUUUUGUACCAGUUUCCAGAACAGAACAGCUUCAGUGGGGGAGGGAGAACGCGCUGGGGAAUAUUGGCCCUUUAAUUAGUCGUGGCACCAGGAUAGCCCCACAAUAGCAUGUCCAAGGCUGCAGCCCGGUCCAGCUGUGUUGUGAAACACACCGUUAGAACACGACCGCAAUGAAUGUACAGCAAACAGGCAAACACAGCAACUUACCCAAUUACAGUACAGGUCGCCCACGGACCCCGGCGGUGGCACCCACCUCGCACACACACACACUCACAGACAGCGGCCCACACUGUUUUAAUAACGCCCAAAUGUGUCGAAAGAGGGAGGCAUGCAUCGUACCGAGACACCGAACGCCAGCAGUCCAGGCAUACAUCCACCCAUACAGGGACAUCCAUGACCAAGACAGUGUCGCUAUAUGAAAGAAUGCACAUUAGUGCCGCAUACACGGCGACACAGGACAAUAAAAGGCACAAAAGAUGGGGAAAGUGCCCUUACCACACCGCAGCAGAAUGAUGAUCUAGGGCAGCGGCCAAAACAUAAAGCACGCCUCCCAGACACGUCUCCACAGACACCCAGCAGGAGAAGACAACAGAACGAGUCCACACACCACAGGCUUAAGUAAUGUCCCCGCCACUCCCAAUCAAUCGGAAUUAGCCCCAGGUAUGCUGGUCCACACCCCUAUGUGCAGGUAAGAGGGAGGGGAAAAAUCUGGUCAAAUCUGGUCACAUAAGCAACAUAGACACGUGUAAUGGGAAAAUGCCAUUGACCAGAUGGCAAAGACAGUUAUAUGUGACCCUUUUAAAUGCUUCAUUUGU